rnacentral:rRNA from 1 species
AUGGAAUCGGUCAACAACGUUCAAAAUCAAGAUUUCAGUGCUGCUACCUCAUUUCCAGAGAUUAAUUUCCCCAUGCUUCUCAUUGAUGAUUUCAAUACUCCAAAAAAGAAACAAUCAUUUUCUCAAGACGGUUCUUUGUAUAAGCCACAAUGUGAUGAGGAAUUGAAGCUAAAAGUAGGGAUGAUAUUUGAUGACAUUGGCUCGGUGAUGGAAUUUUACAAAACAUAUGCACACAAUGUCGGGUUUGGUGUACGUCUUGGGCAGCAAAAAGUCAUGGAUAAUGUGCUUCAGUGGAAGCGCUUCUUGUGUGCAAAAGAAGGCUUUCAGACCGAGAAAGGUAUGGUUGCUAUUGACCCUGCUAAGAAAAGGAGAAAGGUGAAAGUGACAAGAUGUGGAUGUGAAGCUUAUAUCUAUGUCACUCGUGAAAGCGAUGGAAAAUAUAGGAUCGCCUCACUCACUGAAUAUCACAAUCACCCUUUUGUGCCUCCUAGCCAACAUCAUUUGAUUAGAUCUAAUCGUCAAGUUAGUGAGAGUGUGAAGACAACACUUUAUGACUACCAAAGAGCUAGCAUCGGCACCGCUUUAGCAUAUAGGUUCCUUCAUGUUGAUGCGGGUGGUUUUGAGCAUGUUGGGUGCACAAAGAAGGACCUACAGAAUCACUAUGGUGUACUGAAAAACAAAAUUAAAAAUUGUGAUGCUCAAAUGCUAGUGGACCAAUUUGGUAGACUGAAGGUCUUGAAUCCUGCUUUUUUAUAUGAGUACGAAGUUGAUGAUGUUGGUACAUUGGUCUGUUUGUUUUGGGCAGAUGCAUCUAGUAGGAAAAAUUAUGGUCAUUUCAAUGAUGUGGUAUCUUUUGAUUCGACUUACAGCACUAACCAAUAUGAAUACAUCUUUGCACCCUUCACUUGA